rnacentral:rRNA from 1 species
UAAGGAAUAUUGGACAAUGGGCGGAAGCCUGAUCCAGCCAUGCCGCGUGCAGGAGGACGGCCCUACGGGUUGUAAACUGCUUUUGUAAGGGGAUAAACCCCCGCACGAGUUGCGGGGCUGAAGGUACCUUACGAAUAAGCAUCGGCUAACUCCGUGCCAGCAGCCGCGGUAAUACGGAGGAUGCAAGCGUUAUCCGGAUUUAUUGGGUUUAAAGGGUGCGUAGGCGGCCUGUUAAGUCAGAGGUGAAAGGUUGCGGCUUAACCGCAGACAUGCCUUUGAUACUGGCGGGCUUGAAUAAAGUUGAGGUAGGCGGAAUGUGGCAAGUAGCGGUGAAAUGCAUAGAGAUGCCACAGAACACCGAUUGCGAAGGCAGCUUACUAAGCUUUGAUUGACGCUGAGGCACGAAAGCGUGGGGAUCAAACAGG